GACGAACGUUGGCGGCGUGCUUAAUACAUGCAAGUCAACUGAAGCAGUGGUAGCAAUAUCGCUGUGGAGGUGGCGCACGGGUGAGUAACACGUAGGUAAUCUGCCUUCAGGUCUGGCAUAACUCCGGGAAACCGGGGCUAAUAGCAGAUGAUGCAGCGGCUCGACAUCGAGACAGUUGUUAAAGCUAUGGCGCCUGAAGAUGAGCCUGCGUCUGAUUAGCUAGUUGGCGGGGUAACGGCCCACCAAGGCAACGAUCAGUAGCUGGUCUGAGAGGAUGAUCAGCCACACUGGAACUGAGACACGGUCCAGACUCCUACGGGAGGCAGCAGUAAGGAAUAUUGCUCAGUGGGAGAAAUCCUGAAGCAGCAACGCCGCGUGAGGGACGAAGGGCUUUUGCUUGUAAACCUCUGUAGUGAGAGAAAAAAAUCCCAAUCUUUGGGACAUGAUGGUAUCUCAAAAGUAAGCCCCGGCUAACUACGUG
rnacentral:rRNA from 1 species